rnacentral:rRNA from 1 species
UGCUUAACACAUGCAAGUCGAACGGCAGCACAGUGUGUAGCAAUACACAUGGGUGGCGAGUGGCGGACGGGUGAGUAACGCGUAGGAAUCUGCCUUAAAGAGGGGGACAACCCGAGGAAACUCGGGCUAAUACCGCAUAAAGUCGAAAGACCAAUGGCUGGGGCAACCUGGCGCUUUAAGAGGAGCCUGCGUCUGAUUAGCUAGUUGGUGGGGUAAAAGCCUACCAAGGCGAUGAUCGGUAGCUGGUCUGAGAGGAUGAUCAGCCACACUGGGACUGAGACACGGCCCAGACUCCUACGGGAGGCAGCAGUGGGGAAUAUUGGACAAUGGGGGCAACCCUGAUCCAGCAAUGCCGCGUGUGUGAAGAAGGCCUUCGGGUUGUAAAGCAC